rnacentral:rRNA from 1 species
UUGGAGGGCAAGUCUGGUGCCAGCAGCCGCGGUAAUUCCAGCUCCAAUAGCGUAUAUUAAAGUUGUUGCAGUUAAAAAGCUCGUAGUUGAAUUUCGGGAUCAAUUUAUUGGUCGUGCAAUAGUACGUACUGAUUUUAUUGAUUCCUCUCUUCUGAAGAACUAUGAUGUCAUUAAUUUGGUGUCAUAGGGAAGCAGGACUGUUACUUUGAAAAAAUUAGAGUGUUUAAAGCAGGCUCACGCUUGAAUACAUUAGCAUGGAAUAACGAAAUAGGACGUUUGAUUCUAUUUUGUUGGUUUCUAGGAUCGACGUAAUGAUUAAUAGGGAUAGUUGGGGGCAUUAGUAUUCAAUUGUCAGAGGUGAAAUUCUUGGAUUUAUUGAAGACUAACUACUGCGAAAGCAUUUGCCAAGGAUGUUUUCAUUAAUCAAGAACGAAAGUUAGGGGAUCGAAGACGAUCAGAUACCGUCGUAGUCUUAACCAUAAACUAUGCCGACUAGGGAAUCGGGAGUAUGUCCA